UGAAGUGAUAUUUUAUGCAUUUUGUAUGCAUUUCGGGUAUAAUUUUGGGUAGUAAGCUGAUGGGUGUGAUAUAUUCACAAUUAGGUGGGAUUACUUAUAGGGUGUCUUGGGUAGUGAAUGGAGCGGGUGCAAAUAAAGGUGGAAUUGAAGUGGAGGUUGAUAAGGGAGAGAUCAGUUUUCAUAUAAUGAUUUGAAAUACAUGUUUUAUUCUAUGUUUAAUAAGUGGAUAAAAAUAUUGUUGAAGCAAAUGUUAUGUUUAUAUCUCUGUAUGGACAAUGUUAUUGUAUGCAAUGCGCCAGUGUACAGUUAGACAGCUUGGUUAUUGUGCUGCAUGAUAUUGGCAAACUUGGUUGUUGUUUGACUGGUAAGCUUGUGUUGCUUACAUUUGUGAUUGACUACUAACUAAUAUGCUGGCACCUACCAUUGGUGAUAAAGAAUGGCCUCUCACCGCCACUAUAUGUGAGCCGUGACUGAGGGUAACGGUACCGUCAACCUCCCGGAGUCGUAGGUAAAACGUCCUCUGGCACAUUUGGUAAAUAAAAUUCUCUUUUGAGAAAAUCUAUUGACGUUUGAGAUUAUUCCCACACUGGGGAAAAUUGGUGAAAAAUAAUUGAUGAGAAUAUUUUUCCACGGUUGAGGAAAAAAUUACAAGAAAAUGUUGGUUGAUAUUUUGUUAAAAAAUAGGAUUGCUGAGAGAAAACGUUGAUCCAUAAAAUGCUUGUUUAAAAAAAAGAUGGUUGAAGUUUCAUUGAAAAGUUUGUAAAAAUUUCUUGUGAAAAGUGCGUUUGUUUUAAAAAUUUGAGCCAUUUUAAUUGUUGCAAAAUAUAUUCUUUACAUUAUGAUGCUAAGUAUACUCUCAUGUAACCUUUUUGGGUGCAGAGAUUGUCGAGAUAGAAGUCGGUCCACUACAGUACCAGGUUAAGAGUCUUUGAAAUUUUUUGGGUUGUAUAUAUAUAUAUCUCUGGUGGUUAUGAGAAGUUGACAUUCUUUAAUGGGUGGUUGUAAGAGAAGUAUAUCUCAUCUUAUUAGAGUGAGGUGGAGUAUUAUAUGUAGGUUGGGCUAUAUUUUCAGCUGUGUAAAAUUAUGUAUAUAAUUGACAGAUUUAUUUAUGAUACCGUAUCAGUUGGGUUGAUCCGCACUAUGGUGGGUCCGGGUCCUACCAGAGCGGGUGUGAUAAGUUUUGGUAUCAGAGCGUGGUAAUAUAUUCUGUAGACUUGUUAGUAGUUGGUACUUUUAGUGGACCAUAGGCAGUGUGUAGUUUUGAGUCUCAGGAGGUUGUUUGUUUAAGUCAUAGUUGUUGAGAUGGAUAUCAAUUUGGAAAGGGUAGUCGAGCAUGUAUGUGUUCCUUUUCUUUUAUGUAUUGUUGUCGUGAUGAUAUGAGAAGUUGAUAAUACUGAUGAGUAUCUAUCAUACUAUGGAGAGUAUGCGAUAUAUUUUAAGUCUCACUUUUGUAAGUCAGAAAGUGUACGUUAUUGAUUCUUGUCUCCUGGAUUGGGUUAAGAUUUUGGUUGUCCUUAGAUAUGGUUAGUUGUCGAGCUUUGUUUGGUUGUCGAUCAUCGUAGUAAGAGAGUGAUCUGAUGGACUAUCUUUAUUCAUUUUUUUUCUUUUCUGGAACCUUUGUUGGGGACUGAUCUUGGAUGUUUGUGUUGAAGUGCAUUUGGCCGAUGCAAUUUCAAUUCAGAUAUCUAGUUUAGUUUCCUAAUUUCUCCCUCAUUUUCUUUGAAUUUGGAUUUGAUAACCCAACUUUAUCUUCUCAUUUCGCUAAACUUGUGACCCAUGUGUAGAAUUUUGGAAAAGUGAUUGUAUAUUAAUAUCGUUGAAGAAUUAAGAACUCUUGAUUAU
rnacentral:lncRNA from 1 species